rnacentral:rRNA from 1 species
AGAGUUUGAUCCUGGCUCAGAAUGAACGCUGGCGGCGUGCUUAACACAUGCAAGUCGCACGAGAACUCUUCUGCUUGCAGAAGAUAGUAAAGUGGCGCACGGGUGAGUAACGCGUGGGUAAUCUACCUCCGAAUUGGGGAUAACCCCGCGAAAGCGGGGCUAAUACCGGAUAAUAUCUUUUGUAUUUCGGCAUUUAAGAUCAAAGGUGGUCUCUACAUGUAAGCUACUGUUUGGAGAUGAGCCCGCGUGCCAUUAGCUUGUUGGUAGGGUAAUGGCCUACCAAGGCUACGAUGGCUAGCUGGUCUGAGAGGAUGAUCAGCCACACUGGAACUGACACACGGUCCAGACUCCUACGGGAGGCAGCAGUGAGGAAUUUUGCGCAAUGGGGGAAACCCUGACGCAGCAACGCCGCGUGAGUGAUGAAGGCUUUCGGGUCGUAAAGCUCUGUCAAGUGGGAAGAACAUGCUCGAUGUUAAUACCAUCGUGCACUGACGGUACCACUGAAGGAAGCACCGGCUAACCCCGUGCCAGCAGCCGCGGUAAUACGGGGGGUGCAAGCGUUAUUCGGAAUUAUUGGGCGUAAAGGGCGCGCAGGCGGUCUCUUAAGUCAGAUGUGAAAGCCCGGGGCUUAACCCCGGAAGUGCAUUUGAAACUAAGGGACUUGAGUAUGGGAGAGGGAAGUGGAAUUCCUGGUGUAGAGGUGAAAUUCGUAGAUAUCACGGAGGAACACCGGUGGCGAAGGCGACUUCCUGGACCAAUUACUGACGGCUGAGGCGCGAAGGCGUGGGGAGCAAACAGGAUUAGAUACCCUGGUAGUCCACGCAGUAAACGGUGAACACUAGGUGUAGCGGGUAUUUACCCCUGCUGUGCCGCAGCUAACGCAUUAAGUGUUCCGCCUGGGGAGUACGGUCGCAAGAUUAAAACUCAAAGGAAUUGACGGG